UAGGGAAUAUUAGAAAUGGACGAAAGUCUGAUCUUGCAACACCGCGUGUGCGAAGAAGGCCUUUGGGUCGUAAAGCACUUUUUGGAAGGAAUAGGAAGGAAUGUACUUCCAGAAUAAGUCUCGGCUAACUACGUGCCAGCAGCCGCGGUAACACGUAGGAGGCAAACGUUGUCCGGAUUUACUGGGCGUAAAGCGCGUGUAGGUGGUACUGUAAGUAGGGCGUGAAAGCUCCUGGCUCAACUGGGAGAGGCCGUUCUAAACUACAGAACUAGAGGAUGGUAGAGGGAGGUGGAAUUCCAGGUGUAGCGGUGGAAUGCGCAGAUAUCUGGAGGAACACCGGUGGCGAAGGCGGCCUCCUGGACCAUUCCUGACACUCAGACGCGAAAGCUAGGGUAGCAAACGG
rnacentral:rRNA from 1 species